rnacentral:lncRNA from 1 species
UGGUAUUUCAUUCCUACACAGGAAUGACUGCCCAGAGCAAUGGAUGUGAAUCUCAGUCAGUGUGGAUUUUUUAUUUAUUUAUUUUACUUUUACUUCAUUUUCAGACUGCUGCCACCCAGAGAAGAGUGAAUGUGGGCAGACUUUCACCUGCCAUCACAGGACCUUAUUUCUUUUCUUAAACCCUAUCAAGAAUGCUCUUGAGAAGAGAAUUGUUGAGGAACUGGUUGCAUAGUCCUUGAGAAUACUGAUCACUGUUAAUUAGGUUAAACUCUUUGUGAUAGAUCAUAUCAGGUACCCUCUUAAAAAAAAGAUUUUUUUUUCCUUUCUUUUUUUUUUUUUCCUUUUUCCUCCCAGGAUAUUGGCUGCUCAGAAUGGUACCUGUUGCCAGUGCUGCUGAGCUUCAGAAUCAUAGAACGUAUCCACUGGCUUUUCAUCCUCUAUGUUUUUUUUUUUUUUUUUUUCGUUUUGGUUUUAUGAGUUUGACUGAUCCUGUUCUACAACUCCAGUUAAAUAAAGUACUUGGGAAGAGAACUGACAAUGGUCUCAUGAAUUGCAGUGGUUUGAAGAAGUAAAUAUGCAUGGGUCUUGGGAAUAGGACCAAGAUUUCUCACGCAUUAGGCAAUUGCCAUAACUACUGAACUGUGAGUUCAAUCUCUUGACAAUUUCUUGCCCUUUUUUUUUUUUUUUUUUUUUUUUUCCUUCUUGCUUGGCUUUUUCUUCUUCCUGUGGGGGAAAAAAGAAAACAACAACAACAACAAAAACAACCUUCAAACACUAUUCAGUUUGUCUUGAUGAGGAGUAGGAACAUUUCUCUAAGCUCAUAAAUUUUUGUGAGUUGGGAAAACACUUUCCAGGCAAACUCUGUUAGGAGUUCCUAUGCAUUUGUUAGUACAAAUAAGAAGUGUUGUGUUCUGUUGUGGCAGACCUAAGGUUUUUGGGUCAGGAAGUACAACUUGUAUCAGAGGCCAUUAUAUGUUGAACUGGGAAAACCUCUGGGAAUCCUGGAAGUUGAACUAUGCAACUGAAACUCCUACUUAACAGAACCUGUAAAGCUGUAUGUGUGUCCAUGCUGACUAACUUCAUACCUCUCUCCUCACUUAGAUGAGAUGUCCCAAUAGUCAUGAGUCCCAGUUUUAGUCCUCUGUCCCAGUGAAAAUGCUGAGUUUUACUGCUUAUGUCCUAGCAACAUGACUACUAACUCUCUGCAAACUGGUAUUUACAAUUGCUGCCCUUACUGGGCAAAGCUAGUCACGAGAGAGUAAGGAGGGUUUGAGUUGCCUAAAUCUUGAUGUGAAGAAUCCCCUUGCUCAAGUGGUCAAUGAUCAUUUUCAUUGUACAGAGCUAACACUGAGAUGUGAUACUAGUACUCUAGCUAAAAAUAGCAAAUUAUGUUGUGAUGGUUUUUGCUGAGAUAGAGUUAAUUUUCUUUGUAGAAGAGGCUCAUAUGAUGCUGUGUUUUGGAUUUUUGAUGAAGGUAAUGUUGCUAAUACACCGAUGAUUUAGCUGUUGCAGAGCAGAGCUCACACAGAGCCAGGACUGUUCUGCUCCUUGUGCUGCCCAACCAGCCAUGAGGCUUUGGGUGCAAGAGGAGCUGGGAGGGGAAACAUCCAGGACAGCCGAUCCAGGCUGACCAAAGGGAUGUCCCAUACCAUAUGGCAUCAUGCUCAGCAACAAAAUCUGGGGUAAAUAAGGAGGAAGGGGGAGGUGUUUGGAGUGAUGACAUUUGUCUUCCCAAUAAAGCUUUAUUUGUGAUGAGCCCUGCUUUUCUG